rnacentral:rRNA from 1 species
ACGAACGCUGGCGGCGCGCCUAACACAUGCAAGUCGAACGAGUGAGAGGGAGCUUGCUCCCUCAAGCGAGUGGCGAACGGGUGAGUAACGCGUGAGGAACCUGCCUCAAAGAGGGGGACAACAGUUGGAAACGACUGCUAAUACCGCAUAAGCCCACGACCCGGCAUCGGGUUGAGGGAAAAGGAGCAAUCCGCUUUGAGAUGGCCUCGCGUCCGAUUAGCUAGUUGGUGAGGUAACGGCCCACCAAGGCGACGAUCGGUAGCCGGACUGAGAGGUUGAACGGCCACAUUGGGACUGAUACACGGCCCAGACUCCUACGGGAGGCAGCAGUGGGGAAUAUUGCACAAUGGGGGAAACCCUGAUGCAGCGACGCCGCGUGGAGGAAGAAGGUCUUCGGAUUGUAAACUCCUGUUGUUGAGGAAGAUAAUGACGGUACUCAACAAGGAAGUGACGGCUAACUACGUGCCAGCAGCCGCCGUAA